rnacentral:rRNA from 1 species
UGGGGAAUUUUGGACAAUGGGGGCAACCCUGAUCCAGCCAUGCCGCGUGCGGGAAGAAGGCCUUCGGGUUGUAAACCGCUUUUGUUCGGGAAGAAAUCGUCCUCGCUAACACCGGGGGCGGAUGACGGUACCGGAAGAAUAAGCACCGGCUAACUACGUGCCAGCAGCCGCGGUAAUACGUAGGGUGCAAGCGUUAAUCGGAAUUACUGGGCGUAAAGCGUGCGCAGGCGGUUUCGCAAGUCAGAUGUGAAAGCCCCGGGCUUAACCUGGGAACUGCAUUUGAAACUACGAGGCUAGAGUGUGUCAGAGGGGGGUAGAAUUCCACGUGUAGCAGUGAAAUGCGUAGAGAUGUGGAGGAAUACCGAUGGCGAAGGCAGCCCCCUGGGAUAACACUGACGCUCAUGCACGAAAGCGUGGGGAGCAAACAGG